CCUACGGGAGGCAGCAGUGAGGAAUUUUCCGCAAUGGACGCAAGUCUGACGGAGCAACGCCGCGUGCAGGAAGACGGCCCUCGGGUUGUAAACUGCUUUUAUCAGGGAAGAGAACGGACGGUACCUUGUGAAUAAGCCCCGGCUAACUACGUGCCAGCAGCCGCGGUAAU
rnacentral:rRNA from 1 species